UUCUGGCUCAGGAUGAACGCUAGCUACAGGCCUAACACAUGCAAGUCGAGGGGCAGCAGAUCGAAAGCUUGCUUUGAUGCUGGCGACCGGCGAAUGGGUGAGUCACGCGUGUCCAACCUGCCCCCCGCCCGGGGAUAGCCCUUGGAAAUGAGGAUUAAGACCCGAUAGGUGGCGCUUCCGCAUGGCGGCGCCAUGAAACUGGCGAGGGAUGGGGACGCGUCGGAUUAGCUUGACGGCGGGGCAACGGCCCACCGUGGCGACGAUCCGCAGGGGUUCUGAGAGGAAGGUCCCCCACACUGGCACUGAGACACGGGCCAGACUCCUACGGGAGGCAGCAGUGAGGAAUAUUGGUCAAUGGCCGAGAGGCUGAACCAGCCAAGUAGCGUGCCAGGAUGACGGCCCUACGGGUUGUAAACUGCUUUUGCGGGAGGAUAAAGUGCGCCACGCGUGGCGCUUUGCAGGUAUCCCGUGAAUAAGGACCGGCUAAUUCCGUGCCAGCAGCCGC
rnacentral:rRNA from 1 species